rnacentral:rRNA from 1 species
CAGAGCGAACGCUGGCGGCAGGCCUAACACAUGCAAGUCGAACGGAUCCUUCGGGAUUAGUGGCGGACGGGUGAGUAACACGUGGAAACGUGCCCUUUGGUACGGAACAACUCAGGGAAACUUGAGCUAAUACCGUAUAAGCCCUACGGGGGAAAGAUUUAUCGCCAUUGGAGCGGCCCGCGUCUGAUUAGCUAGUUGGUGAGGUAAAAGCUCACCAAGGCGACGAUCAGUAGCUGGUCUGAGAGGAUGAUCAGCCACAUUGGGACUGAGACACGGCCCAAACUCC